rnacentral:siRNA from 1 species
UAUUGGACAACUAUGGCUACUG